rnacentral:rRNA from 1 species
CUUGGAUGAGUUGCGAACGGGUGAGUAACGCGUAGGUAACCUGCCUUGUAGCGGGGGAUAACUAUUGGAAACGAUAGCUAAUACCGCAUAACAAUGGAUGACACAUGUCAUUUAUUUGAAAGGGGCAAUUGCUCCACUACAAGAUGGACCUGCGUUGUAUUAGCUAGUAGGUGAGGUAACGGCUCACCUAGGCGACGAUACAUAGCCGACCUGAGAGGGUGAUCGGCCACACUGGGACUGAGACACGGCCCAGACUCCUACGGGAGGCAGCAGUAGGGAAUCUUCGGCAAUGGGGGCAACCCUGACCGAGCAACGCCGCGUGAGUGAAGAAGGUUUUCGGAUCGUAAAGCUCUGUUGUAAGUCAAGAACGAGUGUGAGAGUGGAAAGUUCACACUGUGACGGUAGCUUACCAGAAAGGGACGGCUAACUACGUGCCAGCAGCCGCGGUAAUACGUAGGUCCCGAGCGUUGUCCGGAUUUAUUGGGCGUAAAGCGAGCGCAGGCGGUUUGAUAAGUCUGAAGUUAAAGGCUGUGGCUCAACCAUAGUUCGCUUUGGAAACUGUCAAACUUGAGUGCAGAAGGGGAGAGUGGAAUUCCAUGUGUAGCGGUGAAAUGCGUAGAUAUAUGGAGGAACACCGGUGGCGAAAGCGGCUCUCUGGUCUGUAACUGACGCUGAGGCUCGAAAGCGUGGGGAGCGAACAGGAUUAGAUACCCUGGUAGUCCACGCCGUAAACGAUGAGUGCUAGGUGUUGGAUCCUUUCCGGGAUUCAGUGCCGCAGCUAACGCAUUAAGCACUCCGCCUGGGGAGUACGACCGCAAGGUUGAAACUCAAAGGAAUUGACGGGGGCCCGCACAAGCGGUGGAGCAUGUGGUUUAAUUCGAAGCAACGCGAAGAACCUUACCAGGUCUUGACAUCCCGAUGCUAUUUCUAGAGAUAGAAAGUUACUUCGGUACAUCGGUGACAGGUGGUGCAUGGUUGUCGUCAGCUCGUGUCGUGAGAUGUUGGGUUAAGUCCCGCAACGAGCGCAACCCCUAUUGUUAGUUGCCAUCAUUCAGUUGGGCACUCUAGCGAGACUGCCGGUAAUAAACCGGAGGAAGGUGGGGAUGACGUCAAAUCAUCAUGCCCCUUAUGACCUGGGCUACACACGUGCUACAAUGGUUGGUACAACGAGUUGCGAGUCGGUGACGGCAAGCUAAUCUCUUAAAGCCAAUCUCAGUUCGGAUUGUAGGCUGCAACUCGCCUACAUGAAGUCGGAAUCGCUAGUAAUCGCGGAUCAGCACGCCGCGGUGAAUACGUUCCCGGGCCUUGUACACACCGC